GGCAGUCUCUAUAUAAACAAACCCUAGCUUCGACAAAAUGUAUCCGCUCUCUCUGUCCCCUCGCAAACCCUAGGUUUCGCCGCCAUUGAAGGCGCCCAGUAUUUCUCUCUUAUUGAGUUUGUUUUGUUCCGCGUGUUGAGUCUGGUUCCUGUCGGAUUUCUUGUUUCUUCUCAAGCAUUUGCGGGGAGAGUAUUCUCUCUGCCGUCUCUCAGUUCUGGAAGAAGGUGAAUGGAGUGAAGAUGAACGACUCCAUUACAAACGUGCUCGGUGUUCCAUCUCAACUUAUUGAUCUACUUUCAUGGUGUGAGUUUCAUAGAUCUCAAAGACAUUUCUUUGUCAGAGCAAUACGGGGACCUUGGGAGAUUUUUCCUCUCAAUCUCCUGUUUUGUGUUCUUUUUCAAUCCAACAGGAUAGUCUUUUUGCAUUUCCCAAAUGAAGAGUAUUCAUCAAAGCUAUGGAUCAAACAUCCAGAUGAUGCUACAGUCAUAGUUACUCUGAUGGGCAAUAUUGAGUGUUUCUUGUUCUUUUUAUUGAAGUUAUAGAGAAACCGGAAUGGCAACUUUGCCGAGGUGAUCGUUGGAUUCUUGAUCCACCUCUUUUCCCUGUUGCCAACAUUUCGUUACUGCGGAAAUUCACCAAUCCUAUGGAUCAAGCCUUCAGGCGAUGCUCAUUUUCACUCUUCUUUUUAUUGAAGUUGUAAUUAACUUAGAAUGGGCAACAUUGCCGAGGUGAUCGAUUUUUUUUCUUGAUCACCUCCUUUCUGUGUCAAAAUCAUAUCUUGUCCUGCAUACGUUGCUCAAGUUUCAGGCAUAUAUCUCUGUCCGAACUUUAUGCCUAUGCUCUGUUUAUCCAAGAGGUUACAAUUGUUGCAUUCCCCAAAUGAGGAGUAUUCAUCAAAGCUAUGGAUUAAUCAUUCAGAUGGUGCUACUGUCAUAGUUACUCUGAUGGGAAAUGCUCAGUGUCUACUGUUUUUGUUGUUGUAGAGAAAUUGGAAAGGGCAACUUUGCCGAGGUGAUCAAUUCAUUCUUGAUCCACCUCUUUUCCCUGUUGCCAAAAUCAUAUCUUGCCCUGCAUAGGCUUCUCAAGUUUCAGACACACUUCUUUGUCCAAACGUGUUGCCUAUGCUCUGCUACAUGCUACUCCUUAACUGGUUUCUUAUCGGUAGUUGCAAAUUGUAGGUGUAGCCAUUUGGCCAUGUGUGAUUUCUUUCAUGGUAAUCUUAUUUUUCGAAGGCAUCUUUAACGUGGUGAUCACACCUAUCUUAUCGGUUUCUUCUUUCCCUGGUGCCAAUGCCUUGUUUUGGCACUGUCGUGGACUUGGUAGACAGCUGAUUUAUUUGUCCUCCGUUUGUCAUCUGUAUACUCUUGUAUAUUUAUCUUGAGUUGAAAGAGGUCGUUGUCUCCU